rnacentral:rRNA from 1 species
AUGAACGCUGGCGGCGUGCUUAACACAUGCAAGUCGAACGAGAAAGCACCUUCGGGUGUGAGUAGAGUGGCGAACGGGUGAGUAACACGUGAGCAACCUGCCUCUCACUUCGGAAUAACUCAGGGAAACCUGUGCUAAUACCGGAUACUCCGUACAUUCCGCAUGCUAUGUACGGGAAAGCCUUGUGCGGUGAGAGAUGGGCUCGCGGCCCAUUAGGUAGUUGGUGGGGUAACGGCCUACCAAGCCGACGAUGGGUAGCCGGGUUGAGAGACCGACCGGCCACAUUGGGACUGAGACACGGCCCAGACUCCUACGGGAGGCAGCAGUGGGGAAUUUUGCGCAAUGGGGGAAACCCUGACGCAGCAACGCCGCGUGCGGGAUGAAGGCCUUCGGGUUGUAAACCGCUUUCAGUAGGGAAGAAAAUGACGGUACCUACAGAAGAAGCUCCGGCUAACUACGUGCCAGCAGCCGCGGUAAUACGUAGGGAGCGAGCGUUAUCCGGAUUUAUUGGGCGUAAAGCGCGCGUAGGCGGGCUAUUAAGUCAGGUGUUAAAGCCCGGGGCUCAACCCCGGCCCGCACCUGAAACUGGUAGUCUUGAGUCUGGUAGGGGAAAGUGGAAUUCCCAGUGUAGCGGUGAAAUGCGCAGAUAUUGGGAAGAACACCAGUGGCGAAGGCGGCUUUCUAGGCCACGACUGACGCUGAGGCGCGAAAGCUAGGGGAGCAAACAGGAUUAGAUACCCUGGUAGUCCUAGCCGUAAACGAUGAAUACUAGGUGUGGGGGAGUAAUCUCUUCCGUGCCGCAGCUAACGCAUUAAGUAUUCCGCCUGGGGAGUACGGCCGCAAGGCUAAAACUCAAAGGAAUUGACGGGGACCCGCACAAGCAGCGGAGCAUGUGGCUUAAUUCGAAGCAACGCGAAGAACCUUACCUGGGCUUGACAUGUAAUGAACAACAUGUGAAAGCAUGCGACUCUUCGGAGGCGUUACACAGGUGCUGCAUGGCCGUCGUCAGCUCGUGUCGUGAGAUGUUAGGUUAAGUCCUGCAACGAGCGCAACCCUUGUCGUAUGUUACCAGCAUUCAGUUGGGGACUCAUACGAGACUGCCGGCGUCAAGCCGGAGGAAGGUGGGGACGACGUCAAGUCAUCAUGCCCCUUAUGUCCAGGGCUGCACACGUGCUACAUUGGCCGGUACAACGGGCUGCGAACUCGCGAGAGUAAGCGAAUCCCUUAAAGCCGGUCCUAGUUCGGAUUGGAGGCUGCAACCCGCCUCCAUGAAGUCGGAGUUGCUAGUAAUCGCGGAUCAGCAUGCCGCGGUGAAUACGUUCCCGGGUCUUGUACACACCGCCCGUCACACCACCCGAGUCGUCUGCACCCGAAGUCGCUGGCCCAACCCUUGUGGAGGGAGGCGCCGAAGGUGUGGAGGGUAAGGGGGGUG